rnacentral:rRNA from 1 species
UCCUACGGGAGGCAGCAGUGGGGAAUUUUGGACAAUGGGCGAAAGCCUGAUCCAGCAAUGCCGCGUGUGUGAAGAAGGCCUUCGGGUUGUAAAGCACUUUUGUCCGGAAAGAAAUCCUUUGGGUUAAUACCUCGGGGGGAUGACGGUACCGGAAGAAUAAGCACCGGCUAACUACGUGCCAGCAGCCGCGGUAAUACGUAGGGUGCAAGCGUUAAUCGGAAUUACUGGGCGUAAAGCGUGCGCAGGCGGUUUUGUAAGACGGAUGUGAAAUCCCCGGGCUUAACCUGGGAACUGCAUUCGUGACUGCAAGGCUAGAGUAUGGCAGAGGGGGGUAGAAUUCCACGUGUAGCAGUGAAAUGCGUAGAGAUGUGGAGGAAUACCGAUGGCGAAGGCAGCCCCCUGGGCCAAUACUGACGCUCAUGCACGAAAGCGUGGGGAGCAAACAGGAUUAGAUACCCUGGUAGUCCA